CGGAACUGGUGGAUCUGAUGUACCUGCCAGAAGGAAUAAAAACCUCUGGAUGUUUCCGUGCGUGGUAGGAUUGGAUGGUCCCUUGAAAAGGAACCAAUCAGCACUGGAGCUGAAGGACCUCAUCUGUAUCUGGGCAGACAUUUUUGUGUGAAGGUCCUCAAUCCAGUGCCUAGACUGUGUGAUUUCUUCAAAUUGCACCGGAUGAACAUUUGAGGUGAAAAUUCCUUCUCAAUUAUAGAACAGCUGAAGAUUGAAUGCCUAAGGGAUUUUAAGAAGCAAAAGAAAAAUGCGAUUCAACAGGUGGAAGAAAAAGCCGUGGACUCCUUUGUGAAAAUCAAGGGAGAAAUCAUCUUCCCUGGUCAGCAUCUCUUGGAAUCUGUUCUUGGUCAGUGGUAUUGAAUGUGAACAUAGGAGCCACCCUGUCACCAGAAGGACCAUCCAGGACCCUGCCCUGCAUUUACUUCAGGAAUCAAGAAUCACUUUAUAUUCUGAAAGGUUCUGUGGGCUCCUUAAUGCCAAUGAGAAUCUAAAGAAAGAGCCAAAUCAGCAGCAUCCAGAGGCUGUGUUCAGACAGUGCCUCCUACAAGCAGGUGGCCACGGGGAAACUCCAUGGUGGAAGUCAGGUAAGAAUUGGAGAAUGUUGGAGGGUGAAGAGUAAGAGUAUGGGGAAAGCUUUAGCAGGAAGAUAGAAAAUCAGGUGAUAC